CCUACGGGAGGCAGCAGUGAGGAAUAUUGGUCAAUGGACGAGAGUCUGAACCAGCCAAGUAGCGUGAAGGAUGACUGCCCUAUGGGUUGUAAACUUCUUUUAUAAAGGAAUAAAACGAGGCACGUGUGCCUUUUUGCAUGUACUUUAUGAAUAAGGAUCGGCUAACUCCGUGCCAGCAGCCGCGGUAAUACGGAGGAUCCGAGCGUUAUCCGGAUUUAUUGGGUUUAAAGGGAGCGUAGAUGGGUUGUUAAGUCAGUUGUGAAAGUUUGCGGCUCAACCGUAAAAUUGCAAUUGAUACUGGCAGUCUUGAGUACAGUUGAGGUAGGCGGAAUUCGUGGUGUAGCGGUGAAAUGCUUAGAUAUCACGAAGAACCCCGAUUGCGAAGGCAGCUUACGAAUCUGCGAUUGACGCUGAUGCACGAAAGCGUGGGUAUCAAACAGGAUUAGAUACCCUUGUAGUC
rnacentral:rRNA from 1 species